GAUGAACGCUGGCGGCGUGCUUAACACAUGCAAGUCGAACGAUGAAGCCCAGCUUGCUGGGUGGAUGAGUGGCGAACGGGUGAGUAACACGUGAGUAACCUGCCCUUCACUCUGGGAUAUGCCUGGGAAACUGGGUCGAAUAUCGGAUAGGAGCGUCCACCGCAUGGUGGGUGUUGGAAUGAGUUAUCGGUUUUGGAUGGACUCGCGGCCUAUCAGCUCGUUGGUGAGGUGAGGGCUCAACAGGGCGACGACGGGUAGCCGGCCUGAGAGGGUGACCAGACACACUGGAACUGAGACACGGCCCAGACUCAUACGGGAGGCAGCGGUGGGGAGUAGUGCACAAUGGGAGCAAGCCUGAUGCAGCGACGCCGCGUGAGGGAAGACGGCCUUCGGGUUGUAAACCUCUUUCAGUAGGGAAGAAGCGAAAGUGACGGUACCUGCAGAAGAAGCACCGGCUAACUACGUG
rnacentral:rRNA from 1 species